rnacentral:rRNA from 1 species
CAGUAGCCGCGGUAAUGCGAGGGGGGCAAGCGUUGUUCGGAAUUAUUGGGCGUAAAGGGCUCGCAGGCGGUUUCUUAAGUCUGAUGUGAAAGCCCCCGGCUCAACCGGGGAGGGUCAUUGGAAACCGGGAAACUUGAGUGCAGAAGAGGAGAGUGGAAUUCCACGUGUAGCGGUGAAAUGCGUAGAGAUGUGGAGGAACACCAGUGACGAAGGCGACUCUCUGGUCUGUAACUGACGCUGAGGAGCGAAAGCGUGGGGAGCGAACAGGAUUAGAUACCCGCGUAGUCCCUGUCUCUUAUAA